AACGAACGCUGGCGGCAGGCUUAACACAUGCAAGUCGAACGCACCUUUCGGGGUAAGUGGCAGACGGGUGAGUAACGCGUGGGAAUCUACCCUUCUCUACGGGAUAGCUCCGGGAAACUGGAAUUAAUACCGUAUACGUCCUGAGGGAGAAAGAUUUAUCGGGGAAGGAUGAGCCCGCGUUGGAUUAGCUAGUUGGUGGGGUAAAGGCCUACCAAGGCGACGAUCCAUAGCUGGUCUAAGAGGAUGAUCAGCCACAUUGGGACUGAGACACGGCCCAAACUCCUACGGGAGGCAGCAGUGGGGAAUAUUGGACAAUGGGCGCAAGCCUGAUCCAGCCAUGCCGCGUGAGUGAUGAAGGCCCUAGGGUUGUAAAGCUCUUUCAGGGGGGACGAUAAUGACGGUACCCACAGAAGAAGCCCCGGCUAACUUCGUG
rnacentral:rRNA from 1 species